rnacentral:rRNA from 1 species
AGUGAACGCUGGCGGUAGGCCUAACACAUGCAAGUCGAACGGCAGCACAGUAAGAGCUUGCUCUUACGGGUGGCGAGUGGCGGACGGGUGAGGAAUACAUCGGAAUCUACUUUUUCGUGGGGGAUAACGUAGGGAAACUUACGCUAAUACCGCAUACGACCUACGGGUGAAAGCAGGGGAUCUUCGGACCUUGCGCGAUUGAAUGAGCCGAUGUCGGAUUAGCUAGUUGGCGGGGUAAAGGCCCACCAAGGCGACGAUCCGUAGCUGGUCUGAGAGGAUGAUCAGCCACACUGGAACGGGGACGCGGACCAGACUCCUACGGGAGGCAGCAGUGGGGAAUAUUGGACAAUGGGCGCAAGCCUGAUCCAGCCAUACCGCGUGGGUGAAGAAGGCCUUCGGGUUGUAAAGCCCUUUUGUUGGGAAAGAAAAGCAGCAGGUUAAUACCCCGCUGUUCUGACGGUACCCAAAGAAUAAGCACCGGCUAACUUCGUG